GAACUAAUUUCGGGAUUCUGUCGACGGGAACAGACAGCUUCGAAUUCUUUUUCUGCUCUGAUCACGUGACACCGGCAGAAUAAUUCUUUCUCUGGAUCAGACGCCAUGUUCUUUUUAACCUCAAUCUUUGAUUGUUGGUUGGUUUGUUUUGAUAUUAUUUUGCUGUCGGUUGUCAGAUUUCGGAUUGCUACUAUUAUACUGUGAAAUUAAUUUGCAGUAGAAAAUUGAGGUUUAAAAUAUUUCCAUUGAUUUCUUUAUUCUUAUAAUUUUUACAAGAGAAAUUGAAAAUGGAUUUACAACAGAAAGGCGUAAAAUUCAUUAUAAAAUUGAUGUGACAGUUCAAAGUUUUGUACUUUCCAGACCUGCACAACGAAUUACCUAUUUGAAAAAUAGAAUAUGGUUAAAAAUUGCUGAUAUGAUAGAGGAUUCAAGUACUAUUUACAAACAAAAUAUUGAAGAGAAUGUGCUCAAAAGGAAAUGCAUAUGAAUUCUUUUUUGUUGACCAGGAUGGAAAAAUUCUUUGGAACCCAUGGUUAGAAUAAGUUAGUUAGGCCUAGAGGUGUACCAGCCAGAAGUAGAGGAUGACAAAGAAAAUCAACUAUGAAUAAUAUUCCAUGUAUAUGAUUCAUGUAUGAUGUAGUAGCCUACAGAAGAAAGAGAUGGACUAAUCUAAGAAAUAUAUUCAUUUUUCAGUACA